CUCCCGGCUAAUUGAGCCCGGAUGGUGCCAUGCUGCGGGGAGGGCGGCCGGCGGGGCCCCCGCGGACCGGGGAAGGCGGCGGCGGCGGCGGCAGGACCGAGACUGGAAGAAGAAAGAUUCCUCCUAACCGAGUCACCAGGAACCUGAUCCCACCAAGGCCAAGACGGCUUUACAGGCUGCUCUUGGCAAGCCUCUCCGCACUGUGCCCUGGCCAGGGAAGACAGGAAGGCUCCUCUGGUCGGUGCUGGCAUUCCGGGCUCCAUGGACCCUGCUACUGACACAUGUCCACAAGGGUGAACCCCAGCAAGGGACGAGGCAAGAGGGAAGCAUGCCACCACUUCCUCAUCCUCCAACAUGGACAGCCAAGGGAGAUCAGGGCCAGGUGAGCCCGCAGGAGCCACCGGACACAGAAAUCACUUUUGGAUUAUCUGCCACCUGAUUAAAUGCACAACGGCCUUUUUUGCUUAAGGGAAAAAAAAAAAGGAUUCCAUGUUUAAAAAAUAUAUAUUUUUUAGCCUCUGGUAGUCCAGAGGCUAAGACUCUGUGCUCCCAAU